UAGAGUUUGAUCCUUGGCUCAGAUUGAACGCUGGCGGCAGGCUUAACACAUGCAAGUCGAACGGUAACAGGAAGCAGCUUGCUGCUUUGCUGACGAGUGGCGGACGGGUGAGUAAUGUCUGGGAAACUGCCUGAUGGAGGGGGAUAACUACUGGAAACGGUAGCUAAUACCGCAUAACGUCGCAAGACCAAAGUGGGGGACCUUCGGGCCUCAUGCCAUCAGAUGUGCCCAGAUGGGAUUAGCUAGUAGGUGGGGUAAUGGCUCACCUAGGCGACGAUCCCUAGCUGGUCUGAGAGGAUGACCAGCCACACUGGAACUGAGACACGGUCCAGACUCCUACGGGAGGCAGCAGUGGGGAAUAUUGCACAAUGGGCGCAAGCCUGAUGCAGCCAUGCCGCGUGUAUGAAGAAGGCCUUCGGGUUGUAAAGUACUUUCAGCGAGGAGGAAGGCAUUAAGGUUAAUAACCUUAGUGAUUGACGUUACUCGCAGAAGAAGCACCGGCUAACUCCGUGCCAGCAGCCGCGGUAAUACGGAGGGUGCAAGCGUUAAUCGGAAUUACUGGGCGUAAAGCGCACGCAGGCGGUCUGUUAAGUCAGAUGUGAAAUCCCCGGGCUCAACCUGGGAACUGCAUUUGAAACUGGCAGGCUUGAGUCUCGUAGAGGGGGGUAGAAUUUCUAGGUGUAGCGGUGAAAUGCGUAGAGAUCUGGGAGGAAUACUCGGUGGCGAAAGGCGGUCUCUCUGGACGAAGACUGAUGCUCAGUGCGAAAGUGUGGGGGAGCAACAGGAUUAGAUACUCCUGGUAGU
rnacentral:rRNA from 1 species